rnacentral:lncRNA from 1 species
UUUUUUUUUUUUUUUUUGGUUUUUUGGAUAAACUUCUUCAUAUUUACAACUUUGAAAAGUCAUAUUGAUAAAUAAUUUGAGAUGUUAAUUUUUCUUUUGGUUUUGUUUCAAAUGUUUUUUUUUGGCUUUUUGCAUGUAACUAAAGUAUGACUGCAUGGGCAAGACGAUUUGCUCAAUAAGCAAAUUUAUGAUUUUAAAAUUUUCCUUUGCUUAUUCGCUUCAUGUUUAUUUAUGUCUAAAAUGUCUUUCUCUUUUAAGACAUUCCCUACACUUACAAGAUAUUGUUUAGAAGUGGAAAUGAUUAAUAUCUUAUUUAUUAUGUUAUAAAUCUAGACAGUAGUGUAUAUUUUUAGGUACUAAAUCUAUGUUGAAUUGGAAUUUUCAUAGAAUAUCUGAAACACCACUCGCGGAUGUGAAAUUAGUAGUAAUGGGCGCGCAAAAAAGUGUAAUAGGGUCAGACACUAAAAAAUAUGUUCUUCUAUUGGAAUUCAAUUUUUUGUGAAAAGUAAAGCAAAUAAUCCAAGUUAAAAUUUUCAUGACUUCAAUUCGAAAUUCAUAGUAUAUUCCUCGACUUAGAACCAUAAAAUAAUUAAGUCUAGUGAAUGACCUAAAUACAAAAUAGAAGAAAUCACAACAGCAAAAGGUUCAUUUUUAAAGGCACUUGUUUUAAUGCCGGAAUGAUCAUUUAUUUGACAUUCAUUUAUUUGGCAUUAAAAAUUAAUUAGGUUUCAUUAAAUAGAUCAAUGAAUUAGUGAAAUCCACAUGACAGUAUCUGAUUUAGGCAACCGAAUUGGGAUCCGUAACUGAGAAUUUGAAGCCGGAUUGGAAGGGUAGGGGAUUUUGGGGGUGGGGAGGAGACAAUUUUCAUCUUGUAAUCAAUAGAGAUAAUUAGGUUACUUGUAAUCAAGUUAAGAAAGGUGAAACUUUUUUUUCGCUAUAAAAUGACAUCUAUAUUUAAUUUAGAUACAUCUCACACUUUUCUUGAAAGUAAUUAUCUCAAAAUUCUUACAUAGAGGACAGAAUUUAAUAUAUUUAAAUAAGGAAAAUGGAGUGAAGGUGUGAACUUUGUAAAGUUAAAGGUGUCAAUUUGCAGAAUUUUAUAAAAUUAUGGGGAGGGAAAGGAAUAAGAAUAAAUUUUAUAUACACUGUCAGUCAGUGUAUACACUAUCACAGUUGAAUGGAUGACACAUGAGCAAAUUUUAAAUUUCAAAUUCAAAAUUUGCACAUAUGUCAUAUAUCUUAUGGCGAUAGUAUAUACACUAACAGUAUAUAUAAAAUUACUUCAAGGAAUAAAUAAAGGCGCUUUUACAAAGUCAAGAGCAGGGCAAGUAAAGUAAAAGUUUGAAAAUGUUGCAAACUUUUAUGUCUUUAAUGAAAUUUUGUAAAACUUGAUUUGGAGGUGGGAAGAAGGUGGGGGUGGAGGAAGGGGGAGGGGGCGGGCGAACAAUUGCCCAUCCUUAAGUGUAUGUGGCGUCGCCACUAGCAUUGGCCUUUUCUUUUCUUCACUUUUUUUAGCACUCCGCUGAUAAACAAUUUAUUAGUUUGUUCAACAACACAAAUUAUCCAUUUUGCAGGGUUUGUAGUCUAUAGGUGGCAAUUAAAUUGAAAAUUCAUUUAACAUUUUUCAUGUUUCGUUUAUUUUAGAUGUUUUUGUAAGUCCUACCUCUCAUUGCUUUAAAAUAAAUAAAUAAAUAACACGGCUUUUUAGACAAAUUGAUAUAUAACAAAAUAUUGCAUGAUAAUCAGAUAUUAAGAAUACAAAAAUGGCAAAGAAGUGACAAAAAAAAAAAGAGAAACUCAAAUUACCAUUAAAACAAUUCAUUAUACUUAAUCGAGACUUGAGAUCAAUUGGGGUAUGAAUGGAGAAGAGAAAGGGGAAAAAGAAAAGGAAGGAUUCACAUAAUGGCAUGACUGACUUAAUCAUAGUGAGUUAAUUAGGUACAGAACAUACUAUAAAAUUGCUCUGCAUUACCUGGGGGCUAAGAGCCUACAAAGUAGUUAAAUUUCUUCAUUUUUGGAAGGUUGGUGCAGUCUUGCCAAGAAACACAGAGUUAAUUAAUCGCUAAUUGAGCUUAAGUCAACAGAAUGUGCACUUUCUUUUUGCCCAAAAAAUCCACACUAAAUAAAAAGACGAAACUACUAUUUUAUCUCUGUGCCGUGAGAUGUUCCUUCACUAUAAGUUUGGUUUUCACUUUCUUUGCUUUUCUUCAUACAUGCCAAUGGAAGAUGUUAACAAGCAUGAAAAACAAUUAGGUAAAUUUUACUUUGGACCCUUAAACUAUAAAAAGCACUACCAUUUUAGCUCUUGAAUUUAAUUUUUGGACAUUUUGGUCCAAACAAUAUGAAAUCCAUCCCACUUUAGUCCGUAAACUUCAAUUUGGACACAUUGCCCCCUAGAGUAUGAAAAUUAUCCUACUAAAGCAUAAGCUCUAUCCCAAUUUAGUUCUUAAGUUUUACUAUGUGUGGACAUUUUACUGCUUAAAAAAAUGAAACUUAUCCUACUAUAAUCCUUACAUUUUAAACAUCACUUACCCAUGAAUCCCUUAGUUUUGACAAUUUUACGGAAUCGAUUUCAAACUUUAGGGGAUAAGGUGUGCAAAUUGGAGCUUGUGAGAGUUAAAGUGGGAUGAAUUUUAUAUUUUCUGGUGUAAAGUAUCCUAAAAUGAAAUUUAAGAACUAAAGUGAGAGUGGGUAUGUAAUUUAAGGGAUCAAAGUGAAAUUCUGGGUUGUGUUUGGAUUGCAUUUUCCGUCAUUUUUCAUGGAAAAAUUACUGUAGCGAUUUGAUAUAUGUGAGGGAAAAAGGUGAUCGGGAAAUGUGAUCACGGAAAACGACAAUAUUUUCUGACGGAAACAAGCAAUCCAAACAAAUUUUCAUUGAAAAAUAAAAUUUAAGGGUUAAAGUGGAAAGGAUUCUACAACUUAACAGUUCAAAGUGAAAAGCAGCCUAAAAAGUCAAUAAUUUAUUUUAUACACACUGACAAUAUAUAUUAUUACGGUUUGAUACAUGAUAUAUACAAAAUUUUGAUUUCAAACUUAAAUUUAGAUUAGUUAUCAUAUAUCCAAUAGUCGUAGUGUAUUCACCGUCAAUGUAUAAACAAUCAAUCCAAAAAUUAAAGAUAAUUUGCUAAUGUUAAUUAUAUCUUGUAGUCAAGAAAAAUGGGUACAAGUAUGGGGAUUCAACUCUGCCUUUAAAUUUGUGAUUCGCAUUGCUUGGGGUUGGUAUUCUGAGCUAGGCAAAACUCCCAACAGUAGUCGUAAAGCUUUAAAAUCUGGUGUGCACAAAUACAAUGGCUGUAAGCGUCUUAUCAGUGUUUUUUUUCCCCCAUCGUUUCAAUGUUCGUUCGACAGUACAAUGAUAUAUUUUUGCAGGUUUUAUAGUCUAAGGUUGGCAAAUUGAUACAUUAUUUUUCAUGAAAAUGUUUCUUUUAAUUGACUUUAAUUGUUUGUCUAUACGAUUAAUACAACACUUUUGACAAGUUGAUAUAUAUUACAUACAUGCAUGACUGUUUCGAAAUUGGGAACGAACCAGAAAAAAAGGUUAAUUUUUUAAAAUACACUAUCAGGGUAAAAAUUUUCAUUACAUUUGCAGGAUUAAAUAUAUAUCACAUAAUCUUCAUUCAUAUUUUAAAAUUUAUAUUUUGCUCAUGUUGCAUGCAUCUAAACCUUUCAAUAUUGUAAAGAAAAAAAAACUAUAAUUAAAUUGACAAUGUGUAAAACAUUAAUUGAAAAAAAAAAAAAAAGACUUGAAGCUAUGCAUGCUAUACUUAAUCGAGGCGUGUUAGAGAUCAAUUGGCGCAUGGAUGGAGGAGAGAAAGAAAAAAAAAAAAGAUAAAAAGAACAAGAAGGAUUCGCAGAAUGAUAUACACGUAACUUGAUCAUAGUGAAGGGCAGAACAUAUCCUAGAAUUAGUUCAUCUUGAGAACAAAAAGGGAAAUUGACAGUGAUAUUACUGUCAAUUGGUCUUCCGUAUACCUUUCGUAUAUUAACACUAGAGGUACGUCUUCUGUGCAAGACGCAAUCUUGACCCCUAGUAGUUUAGUUGAACACAUAGCACUAAAUUUUUCUGGUACAUAAUAAAUAAACAGAAAUACAAGUGAAAAUUUGAGUAUCAGAACAAUUAAAAUUUGCUGUGAAGAGAAAUUCCAUCUAUGAAAUUAGCUCUUCUAAAUCAAGGAGGCAACAAACAUAGGAUCUAUCAAAUUCAUCACUAAUCUUGAGCUUAAUGAAGGAAGAUAAUGAAGCAAGUGCACGGUUGAGUACAAUUGGGGAGGAAGAAAGCUGAUUUUUCUGUGCAAUUUUGAGAAACAAUUUAUAGGGUAACAGGAAAAAAGACUUUAAUCGAUUACAUAAAGGAGACAUUUAAAUAUAAGAGCUACUAAUCAAACAUAAUUAAUCAAUAUUCAAGGGCUAAAAGUUUUUCACUAUUUUGUAAAAUUUGAUCCUAUGGUCAUAAAUUAGACAACAUAUAAAAACAGUAGAAAUCCAUGCGAUUAAGCAAAUUGACCUGCAGUAAAAUAACCUAUUUUAGCCUAUAUAGUAUAUUUUUGUCUUGACCCAUCAAGGUAGAAGUGGAAAAAUAAAAAAUAAGAGAAAAAUCAUAGUUUUCUCAAAAGAGAGUUACACAACGUGUCAAAAAAUGGGAGUGCUACAGUAAACUGCCAUGUCUUCUUAUAUAAUAGGUAGAUAGAUAAUCGUUGCUUACUAGUUCUUAUGUGUGUUUAUUUUAGGCCUUCUUUCUAUUUUGGUAGACAACAAACUUGGCAUCAGGUUAUAUAAAAAUGGAGGAAACACACAAAUAUUUUCUUCUACACUAAUUAAACCUCAUUCCUAGUAAUAUUUUUGCAAACUUUGAAAAGUGAAUUGUGCGUACCAUAGCUUGCGUGGUUGGAUAUAAACCUAAUUACAUUGUGGACAGAAAGUGGAUAAUUUUUACUCUAAAAUAACCAAAAUAAUAAUGGGGCUAAGGGCCUAAGCAAGUAGUAGUUAAUUUUCUUUAUUUUGGGAAGGUUGGUGAACUCACGCCAAGAGACACAAUUUUAAGCUAUUAUUAUGUAACUUUGUUAACAGGAUGUGCACCCUCUUUUUGCCAAAACAUUCCACACUAACAAAAGGAUGCAACUACUACUUCAUCUCUGUGUCAUCAGGUGUUUAUUGCAUAUAAAAUUGAUAUUCACUUUCUUCGAUUCUCUUAAUGCAGGCCAAUCUUGAUUCUUCACAGUUAAAAACGUUUCCAGAUAAGAGAAGUGAGAAGUAAUUAAUUAAAGUCCGUUGUUCCAUUAUGAGGCUCAAUCCCAACGUUCUUUGCACUCCUUUGGCAACAAGAACAGUUGUGUUUCUUGUAUUUUGUUCUACGAUAUUGCUUCCUGUCCAAACAAACAACGGUGGCUUUACAGCCGAUCUCAUCCGUCGGGAUUCAUCGAAAUCGCCCUUCUACAAUCCCCUCUUAACAACAUCACAACCUGUAAAGAAUGCAUUUCAACCUUCAUUGAAUCGUGCGAACCAAUUUGCAUCCACAAGUGUAGUACCAAAUGGUGGUGAAUAUCUCAUGAAAAUAUCCUACGGGACACCACCGGUUGAGACACUAGCAAUUGUCGACACAGGCAGCGAUGUUACCUGGACGAUGUGCCUACCUUGUAAGACUUGUCACAAGUCAAUCUCUUCCCUCUUCAAUCCCAAAAAUUCAUCCACAUUUGAGCUAGUACCUUGUACAUCCAAAACAUGUCGCGAUUUUUCGUAUUCCUUUUGCAAUCAGGCUGAUGCUACCACCUGUGAAUACGAAGUAAUCUACGCGGAUCUUUCUUCCUCUAGGGGAGAUGUUGCAACUGAAACUAUAACUUUGGAAGGUUCCAUGGGGGAGAGGCUGUCUUUCUCUAAUUUUACUUUUGGAUGCGCUCAUCACUCGGAUGGUGACUUUACUGACGAGGGAAUGGGAUCUGGACUUGUUGGACUUGGAUUUGAGCAGCAAUCACUAAUUUCACAGCUUAGUUCUCCAUUUGAUGGCAAAUUCUCCUAUUGUUUUGGUCCACCAAAUGAGGUCUCAAACCCCGGAAAAAUAAGGUUUGGUAGCAAUCCAAUAUUUUUGCAAGGAAGCAGGGUUUCAACGCCACUGUAUUUUGGUUUUGCUUAUUCUCUGAAACUACAAGGUAUUAGCGUUGCAAAUACAAGAAUGGAGGAUAGUGAAGGUGCGCUUUCGUCCGGGGAAUUCAUCAUAGACUCGGGAACAACAUACACGCUUCUUCCAACACAACUCUAUUAUGCAUUUGAAUCCGCUAUCCAAGAUUACAUAGGGUCGCAAAAUAGAGUGGAUGACCCAAACAAUGACUUCAAAUUGUGUUAUUCUUCUUUAGUUGAUAGUGUUAUCCCCAAUAUUACCAUGCACUUUGCAGGUGCAGAUUUGGAGUUGAAUCCAGAAAACAUCUUUCAGAGAACCUCACCUACUUCAGUCUGCCUGGGAUUUUUCCCCAGCGACAGUAUUGCCUUGUUUGGCAACUUGGCACAGGCCAACUUUUGGGUGGAAUACGACUUGAAAAACAAAAUUCUUUCAUUUCAACGUGCUGAUUGCGCUAGUCAAUGAUGUUUUCAGUAGUUAAUAUAGAGAUGGUUGUAUCAAACUUGUUUAUUUAACUAGAAGUAAUGAACAAUUUCUAUCUUGAUGUGGUGCUGAUAUAAUUAUAUUUUAAACAAAAAACAUGUCCACUUUUAGGCAUGAUGAAUGAGGUAGAAUGAAGAGAUCUAAACUGUGCUUUUCAUUAUAUUGUUUUUCGAUGAGCUGUUAUGCUUAGCUUACUCAUGGUUGGCAGUUGUUUGCUAGACAAAAGCAGCUGUAUAAUAAUCACAGACCAGUGUCUCCCUUGUUCAAGACAAUGUACAUGGCAGUCCUCCUCAUACCAUAAUCUGAUUGUCCCGGUCAGGUGGCUGCUAUGCAAGGAUUGGAGUUGUAAGAUACCUCAUGAAGAGGAGGAAAUAGCUGUGCAGACUGCCUAGCGAAGAAGAAGAACAUCAACAUGAACAUGGUCUUCUAGAGGCCAAUCAAGAUUUGUUGCCCGCAAUAGACAGGGCCCUCCAUAGGACCCCCAAAAAAAAAAGUGUGUAAUUAACUAAACUAAUCUCGAGAACUACAUUAACAAUUGCUUUUAUUAGCCUCCAAUUAGUAAAAGUACGUACCAUAACAUGGUGGAAACUAGAACUCAAUAACACUACUAUAAACUAACAACGAUCCUUGAAUUAUACCUCAAUUCUCAAUUUGGUCUCUAAAAUCUUUUCUUUGUUCUAAUUUCAUGAUUUUUUUGGCUUAUUCUUUAAUGUUUUUUGCUGCUUACUUGACGAGUAUUAUAUUAGUUUUGGGUAUUCCAUUAGUAAUGGUCUUUCAAGUGGGACGAUUUUUAUAGUAUGGGGACCAAAGUGUCCCAAUUUAUAAUUUACGGACCAAAUUUAGAAUUGAGGUACAGUUAAGGGACGCAAAAUGAAUUAUUUCUUUCCCCUAUCUACUCUAUGUUUUAGGUAUCUUCAUCCCCAAUGUGUAGAUUCAUUUUGCAAUCUUUAAAAUCCCAAGUGGUACAGAUUAAGAAAAGACUGAAAGAGUUUUAGUAUGUUUAUGAAGUUACAAUGUCAGCUAUACUACCAAUAAGUGUAAAAAAGAAAAGAAUUAAAAAUACAAUUAAAAGGUAAGUAUUAUUUCUUAGGAUUAAUCCAUAUUUGAGACCAACUGGGACAUGAAUGGAAGAGAGAAACUGAAACUUUCACACACUGCUACAUGGCAAUAAUUUAAGAGGGACAUCAAGUGUUAAUUUUUUUAGAAAAAUAGUUAAUUCAAGAAAAUGUCACAAUUUAAGGGUGCAAUUAAUGUAAAUGUGUGUAUUCACACACUAAUUUAAGUUUACAUCAUUGUCCUAAUGGUAGAUCAAGCAUGCACUAUAAAUAACGGAUACGUAAUUUAACAACAGAUACAAUAUAUCUGAAGCAUUUUGAAUAGAUCUGGAAAACAUAAUAAAUUUUCAAAUUGUCUUUUGGUUCAUGUAGCAACUUGACUUGGCAGACAUUUAAGAACAUCUCUAUGUUUAAUGAGGAUGCGCUUUUUCGUAUAAUGAAGUAUCUGAUCUUUUAGACUAGGCUAGAGUCGGCUUCUCCUUAGACUAGGUUAGAGUAAAUUAUACAAAUGUUAUCGUUGCGACAAAAAAAAAAAAAAAGUUACCCGAUUCUUGUGCAUAUAUCUUAUGCACUUUUAUCUGCAAUGUUCUUCAUCCUUUCCUGAUUAUAUCGUCUUUUACAAAUGCCAGAACAUAGAUUAGAUAGAGACCAUUCAUAUGAUUCUAAGUUUGUCUGCUACUAGCCACUUGGGCUCAACACUUUUCUGCUAGAAUAUUUUGAAUUGAUACACGAGAAGUCCUUGCAAUUCCGCUUGUGGAUAUAAUAUUUCUUGCACCUUGGGCUAAAUUGUUCCCAAGACUAGUCCAGGCUACGAGAAGUUGAUGAAACAAAUAGAAUAACCUCUAUGUUCCCUGCCACUCUCUUCCUAAACACGUUGAGCAUGGAGCUGCCAAGCCAGGCACAGAAAAAACUGAUCUGUUCUUGAUUGGCAGAGUACUUCGACAUUUGUAAAGGGCGAAUUAACUACACAGUGCAGAUCCAAGAAUGAACAAAAAAUUGUGGUCUAGGCGAUUGGGUUCCCAGUCGUGCAAUGGACAACUGAAGGAUAAUUUUAGUUCCAAAACGCAUGCCAAGACAGGAUAGUAGCUCAAUUUGUCUGUUUUUGGAAGAUUGGUGAACUCAUGCCAAGACAGGAUACAUUUUGUUAGGACAAUGCACGCUCUUUGCAACAAAAGCUAAACUAGUUAAAAGUAUGUAAUCACUAAUAUAAAAUGUCCAGAUGUUCUCUUAGCUUCUCUGAGUAUAAAGCUUCUUCUUUAAGAAAAAUCACACCUAGUAGGUUCAACAUGAGAUUCCCCCACAUUAUCUCGACUGUGUUAGUAGUAGUAACAACGCUUCUUGUAUGUUGUUCUACAUCCGUUUUUGUCCAAGCCAACAAUUAUGGUGGCUUUACCGCCGAUCUCAUCCACCGAGAUGCACCAAAAUCACCCUUCUAUGAUCCCCUCUUAACCCCUUCUCAACGCCUAAAGAACACUUUUCGUCGUUCAUUAGACCGUGCGAAUCAGUUCGCAUCAGCAAGUGUAAUCGUUAGUGGUGGUGAAUAUCUGAUGAAGAUAUCUUAUGGGACGCCACCAUUUGAAACACAGGCAGUUGUUAACACUGCUGAUGCUUCUACAUGGACCCAAUGCCUACCUUGUACUCAAUGUUCCCAGGAAAAGUUCCCUCGUUUUGAUCCACAAAAUUCUUCCACAUAUGAGUCUGUUUCUUGUCAUUCAAGAACAUGUGACCAAUUUUCAAGUUCCAUGUGCACGCAGGACAGUUCAGCUUGUGCUUUCUUUGUACUUUAUGGAGAUGAUUCUAACGUUUAUGGCGAACUUGCAAGAGAAACUAUAACUUUGGAAGGAUCUGCUGGGGAUAGGGUGUCUUUCCCUGACUUUAUUUUCGGAUGUGGACAAGGUGGUGACUUUCCUAAGGAGGGAUCUGGCAUUGUUGGCCUAGGAUUCCAGCACCAAUCACUGAUCUCACAAUUAAAUUCCUCACUAAAUGGGAAAUUUUCCUAUUGUUUUGGUCCAUCCAAUGAUGUCUCCAAGCCUGGAAAAAUCGGAUUCGGUAACAAUCCUGAACUCUUGGGAAGAGAAGGGGUGGUCUCAACGCCGCUACAUUUUGAUUUCACAUACAGCCUGAGACUAGAAGCCAUUAGUGUUGCAGAUACAAGAUUGGAGUAUCAUUAUGAUACACCCUCUUCAACAUCAGGCAACAUUUUCAUAGACUCUGGGACACCUUAUACUUUUCUUCCACAAGAACUCUACAGUGAUUUUAAAGCUGCCAUACAACGUGAAAUUGGGUCACAGAAUAUAGUGGUCGACCAAGAACAUGACUUUACAUUGUGUUACUCAUCUCUGCUUGACAGUAAUAUUCCCAAUGUCACGUUACAUUUUACAGGUGCAGAUUUGAAGUUGAACCCAGAAAACAUCUUUGAUAGGGCCUCAUCUUCUCCAGUGUGCCUAGGAUUUGCCCCAAAUGACAUUGGCAUACUUGGAAAUAUAGCACAGGCUAACUCUUGGGUACAAUAUGACUUGGGAAACAAAAUUAUCUCCUUUAAGCCAGCUGAUUGCACCAAAUGAGUCGCAAUAUACAGAAAUUUAGGUACAAUAUGCUUGGGUUUGAUCUGAAGGAAAGUAUGAAUAAGCACCAGUCACGGGUCAUGUCCUAAAACAUUAGAGGAAUCUCGAAAUCUGUUUCACUUGUCCAAUUUUUCAACGACAAUCAAACCCUUUUGAAUUAAAUGUUCUAUGUUAGCAUGAGAGGACGAUUUUCCUUCUACUUUUCUUCUCUCUCAUACUCUAGUACAAGUUCCUUCCUGAACUAGUUCAGAUUGUUCUCCAAGGACAGACUUGGUAUGAAUUGAAAACGUAUAAUCUAAAUUAACAAGAAACCGAGUACACUAAAAUAUAAACCGCACAAAAGCGGAGACAGGUAGAACCUUUUGAAGCAAAUAGAACAUCAAACCUGGUGUGGUGUCAUAUCUUUGCCUUGACUGAUGCAAAUAUCAAAUUCUACAAUAUAAUCAAAUUGGAAUUGUUCUUAUGCUUUUGUUAAUUAAUCAUGACACAAGAGUUGAUGAAAUCAUAUAGCAGCUGAAUUUCACAAACAGGAGGGUCAUGCACUUUACUAUGGUUAAAACGAUGCAUUUUCGACUAAGAUUUGAACAACUGCUAUCCAACCAUAUUCUUUUGUAGCAUUCUCUUUUUAAUACUCUGCUCCACAUGAUAUUUUAGUUUCUUCUUCCUCUUAAUGGAAUUUAAUUUUGUUGAAACAAUUUCCCCACAAUGGAGUAAGUAAAUAUUCAUUGAGUAAAAGACAAAAUUAUGAGUUUUAUACUACUAGCAAUUAGUGUUCAAGUACCUUCGCUGACAACUAUAGACUUCAACAAGAUAAUGGACUACUAGACACUAUGAAUUUGGUAAGGAAAAUAUGCUAGCAAUUAAGAUUGUGAGUUGUCCAUUACAAUCUUGAUUACAAUUUAGAUGAUGGCACAAAACUUCGGCAUGCCCAGGACAGCUUUCUAGUUCAGCUUGAGAUUGGAUUUAGCCAAACCUAUCCACGCUGGAUUGCAAGUACUUGAAAAUGUAAAUGAAACUAGAUUGAUUAUGUACACCAUGUCAAAUUGUUACAUAAUUCAGAAGUAAUACAAGGAUGAUCCAUUAGUUCAUGAAACGUAAAUGAGCAUCAAAAACACAUAUCACCAAGAAUGGCGAUUACCUCUUCUUACCUUUCUUCGGAAAGGCCUGCAAGCCUCAAUGCUGAGAUCAACAGCAGCGGCAAGAGCCAUAAAAAUGGCUGCAUCCUCCACACAAGUCACAUAUCGCAUGGCUAGUUGCACCAGGGGCUUGCAACGUUUCCCUUCUCCUUGUACCCUAGAGCUCAUAACAAACCCACCAUGGACAGGACUUAGUGCAGCAAAAUCACCACUGCUUUGUGGACUUGGAACUGGAGUUGCUGCAGCUUUCACCUGUCUAUCUGUAUCUAUGAAGAACUCGCCACCCUUUUCAGCAUUAAUCAAUAUCUCUGACAUGAGGAUCUCCCCACCCUCCUGUCCUUCAGAUAAAAGGUGGAAGCGACAGCAGAUGGAGUCUCUGAUGCCACGUUCACGCCAUGCUUCAAGCUUUCCCCAUGGCUGCCAGCUCUCAGGCCUGCAAGCAUCAGGCCGAACAAUCAACCAAGCUCCUGGGUUGGAUUUUGCUACCCAGUCACAGCCUGAUGAAGGCACAAAUGGAGUAGUUAUGAAGGCUGCUGCAACAACUGAGCCAGAGAGAUCGUGAAUUUUCACCUUCCAUCCCUUCCUCUCUCUUCUUUCUACAUCCUGAUCAGAACUGUCAACUGAAUGUGACCAGAAGUUGCUCAGCGGAUCUAACUGGGUUACCCUGUAAAUUCAUAACAAUUUUCACACAUCAAAAAAUGGGAGAACUAAAAUUGCUGUUGUCUGCAUUGUCAACUUGUAAAAUGAUGUCAGAACCACUGAAGUCAAGCAACUGAAGAGUUAAGAGUUCAAACAUAGAUGACAAGAAAGUCAGCCUUAUUGACAUGGAAUCAAUUGUCAAUUCUAAACAGAAUAAUCCACCAUAAAAGAUUUGACAGAAACCUGAAAAUGUUAGAAAAUCGAUAUUACCUGUCUUGAUUAAACUUGCAACUGAAAAUAGGCUGCUUAAAUGUACCCUGAAGCUGAACUAUCUGGGGACUUGAUCUGGUCUCAUCUUCAAACUGAAACAUAUAUCUUGGAUCAGGAUCUAGCUUCACUCUUAAAUGAAGCUCUGCUCCAGGUUUUGCACUACCCUGCUUGCUCUUGCCAAUACCUAUCCACCCAUUGAAAAGUAUAAUCGGUUUUCCUUCUCCCCAUUCAGGACCAACUUCCAACUUAAAAGUUCCAAUCUGUUGCCUUUUAAUACCAACACCACAAUGUGUACCUUUGCGCCCUCUAAAAACUACUAUUUCCAGACAUGCAUGAGAUGCGUAGAAACAGCCUGGGGCCAGCAAUGCUUUGAGAUCAGAUUCUUCUAGGUAAAAGCUGGAGGCAACACUCUGAGCAUCUGGGGUAACUUCAGGAGAGGAUAGAAAGGGAAUAGAGGAGGUCUGCACAGGAAAACCACGUAAGCGAAUCUCACACACACAUGGAGAAGAGAUAGCAUUAAUUCCAGACUUAGAAGAAUUCAGUUCUGUCCCAGGAAGUCGCAAACCCAGUGAACCUAUUGACAACCUUAUGAAAGCUUGAGGAUCCAUUUUUGUCACAAGUCCUUCUCCAUUGGACAAUUCUGUAGCACUGUAGCAGAAAAAAACCUGUUAUGACAAGAAGUAUCAGCUAAUGAUAAGUAGAUUGAAGGGCAUAAAGUAGCUAAAUCAACAUAGAUUACUAUGUAUUUCGCUUCUUUGCAAUAAACCUCAUGUUUUAGAGUAUUAGUUGUGAACGCUAUAAUGCUCUUGCGCACCAUGAGCGGAAAGGAUCUGCUGCAGUUUGUGCCAAUUAUAAAUUGAAUUCCAGAUUAAAUUCCAAAAAUUAAUAAGUAACUGGAUCAAAGAGGAAUUCUGCCAUAGAAUGAGAAGAUGCAAGCUUCACAUAUGAUGGGAAAUUAUAAAUUAAAUGUUAUUUUUUUCAGUAGGUCUAAUAUAGACCUAGACACCAUAUUAACAUAUAGUAAAUAAUAGACAUGAAUGAACACGUAUCCUAAACUGUGAAGGAUUUUGUGUGUGCAUGGAUUCACAGUAUGUCAAAAAUACUUUUGGUACUUUUGAGUACUAACCACAAGGCACAUGGUUAGACAAAGGACUUACCGCACAUUUAUGAUACAUUAAGCAAAGUAAUCAGCUAACAAGAAAAAAAGAAUGAGUAGACUAGAGAAAGACCAAUUCAGUAAUCCUCAUUUUGUUUGAAACAAGGAACAAUGAUAUGAUUUAGAGAUAGAGAGAGAAAGGGGGGAAAGUAAAGUAAUCGCUAAUACUUAGUGUCAGUAGAGGCCUCAAACCAAACUGUAUUUAUUUUGUAUAGGAUAUGCCUUUAUUCCAUUAAGUAACAUAGAUCAACGGUCUACUGAAUUCCAAUUUCAUACCCUUCUCAAUUGAGUAUGACCAUGUCUCCCAACCAUAACCAACUUAACAAUGUGAAAUUAAGGGACAGAAAAUAAAUUGUGGUAUCUCAACAUUGAUCAAGGACUAUUAACAAUAUCAAUGGCCACUGUAGCUGAGGCUUUUGGGUUGCCUGACAUAAAGGAAAAUAAGGUUCUAAUAUUUGCAGCUUCUGUCUGAUCAUGAGCAUAGCAAAUAAUGACCAAAAAUCCAGAUCAACAGAAACAUCAUCAGGAGCAAAAAGCAGAGUUAACCAGCUUUUCAAAACUUAGAACUUUCCAGCACCCGAUCUACUGUAAAAGAAUGGAAAAAUCCUUUCCCGUGAAGAAAUUCUCUCCCAUCUCACGAAACUAUUUCAUUCUACUGGAAGAAUAAGGAAAAUUUACUCUAAGCAAGAUAUAUGGUAUCUUAAACUCAAUCAUGAUCUUGGAUAUAAGCACUCAAUACUAAAUCAAACAAAAAGGGAUGAAGGUUAAACCCAAAAAAUGCUGAUUUUCAGCUCAAAAUUAGUAGCCUAGAAAGUCAAGCAGUAGCCUAAAUUUCUUCACCAUUAAAUUGCCAGAUAUAGGAUUUGUUCAUAAAGUAUACAUCAGGUGAAAAAUUGGUCAGAAUUCUGAUCCAGUCAAUAGAAGAACUCCUGAAAAUUCCUCAACUAAAGCGAUUCCUAUCAGAUUGAUAUCACCUUUAUUUCCCGUUUGUGUGACUUUGUUCACAAUUAAUUAAUCCCAGAACUGCCUAAUUACUUAAUUUCCCUUUAUCUCUUUCACAUUCCAAAUAAAUGAACUUAAGAAGUGCAUAGCCUUUAGCUUUAAUUUACCUAAAAAUCAGAAACCCAUACAAAUGUACCAACUGACAACAUCAGUUGUCAACAAUGAACUUAAGCCAUUAAUCAACCAUACUAGUCAAUACACAAAAUCAUCCAUAAAAGACAAGUCAAAGCCACUUAAAAAUGCAAAAUUUGAGGAAAGAACAAAAGAAAUAUGAAACGAACCUUUGCUAUGAUGCUUUAUCUAUCUCCAAAGCAAAACCAAAGCCACUUUUGAAGCUAAGUCCACUGAAAAUAGCCCAGAAAGCUGAGAAAAUCCUCAUAACUUUGUCAUUCAAUUUUCCAAGAAAAUAACCAAAAAGAUUGAAACUUUGACACUUAUAUCACCAAAACGGACUGUAUAUCCAAAAGGGUCGCUCUCAAGAUCCAAUUACAAUAUGAAUAAAUGAUCAAAAGGGUCCUUUAAUAGCAAUAGCUGCCACCAAAAACUACAGCCUCCUCCAAGCAUAUCACGUAGACAAUGCACAGAUCACGAGGAAAGAUAUACUUAUAUAAACUACGUACGUAUAUAUACUGUGGAGAUUAGCUGUAGCUCUUGACAAAUGUUGCUUUCUUUUUCACUGUUCUCCUGCACAUAUACACACAGUGACGUACACUGUAAAUGUGUGUAUUUUAAGUGUUUCCUAACAAAGGUUUUGGAGAGAAAAUGGAGAGCCAUUGUUUAAAACGCCACAGGCGGAGAAAGUAAAGGAGUAUUAUUGAUUUUUUAAUAAUCGGAAUAUGAAAAUGCUAUUUUCAUAUAUUUUUAAAUCUAUAAAGCUCCCAAGAAUACUAGUAGGUGCUUUUUAAAAUUAUUUUAUUUCUAUAAUGGCCAAGUAAUGUUUUUGGACUAAUUUACUUUUACCUCACAAUAAUCCACUUUCUCCAACUGAUAGGAAAGAAUAUCAAUCAUGAACCAAUCAAAAGAAUGCAAUUCCCCCCCCCCCCCACUUAAAAGGGUACCACAAAAUUAGAGGUAAAGGUAUAGUAUAUUCUUGGGUGUUCUUAUUACUAUUUUUUUCCACGUUAAUCAAUAAGGGGUCUAAAUAUUGUGGAGUUGUGAAUAAUAUCACAGUUGAAGAAAUUAGAAUAUUGCGAACUUGUAAAUAAUGUGUUAGGACUAUGCAAAUAACUAAAAAUUUGCAUGAUUUGUGUUUUUUUUUUCAAUUAAUUCGGACUAUACUACUUUAUUAGUAGAGUACAAAAGGAAGUAACAAAAAAAAAGUAACUUAACUUGGAUUGUAGACUUUAUAUACUCCAUACAUUGUGAUGCUAGGCACACUUAGGAUUUGUCAAAUGGUUAUGUGUACCAAAUAGUAAUAUUGUCCAUCUUAGGAUGAUAACAAGCAAGAAUCUCCUUUAAAAAAAAAAAAGAAAAAAAAAUUGGAAGAGGAAUAUGAGAAUAAGUGAAUUAGUUGUUAAUUACAAACAUUCUUUUUAAUUAUGAUAUGAUAUGAUGGGAUAAUAAAUUGAUGUGUGUGGAGAAAAGUAAUAGGGGAUAAUAUAUAUAAAUGAGUUAAUGUGGGACAGCGAUGGGGAAAAUUGGAUACAGCUGUAACCAACGCUUUGCUCGCAAUGACUCAAUGGGAGAAAUGAGAAUCGUUUUGUAGACCCGCUUAUUGGGGUUGGAAGGAUGAGGCUGACUUCAUCAACUGAUCAACGUAACUGCAUUAUUUAUUUUAUUACAAUUUACAAAUAAAAUUUGGAUAAAUUACAUAUAACCAUCUUGUAAUUUCAUUUAUUAUCAAAGGACCCUCUUAAUGUUUUAAAACAUUCACUUCACCGUGCUAUGAUUUUAUGUAAAAUGAAAAUCUGGCGAAAAAUAGCUUAUGUAUUGUCGUUAGUUGAAACACCAGUAGCGUCCUUACUUAAAUACUAAAUCGAACAACGAGUUAAUCACUUUAUAUAAAAUCACAAGGGGAUUACGUGGAUAAAUAUAAAAAUUAGAAGGAUAUAGUGGAUAUUUAUAUAAAAUUAUAAGGGGAUUAAGUAGAUAUUAUAAUUUCAUCACGCGCAAAACAGAGAAAGGUCAUAUGGCAAGAGUUAUCUAGCAUUAUGCAAAAUCAAAGGGGAUUACAUAUAAUUUAUCCAUAAAAUUAUAUUAAUAAAUGGGAAAAAUAAUUCGAACAAUUUUUAGUAAUAUAUAGCUAUUUAUUUUUUUUUGUAAUGCUAUUUAUUGCAAUGUCAACGCCUCAAUCUGUGGGGAUGGCUACAAGUCCAGCAUUCUUCCAAAUUUUGUCUGUGCCAAAUUCCUUAUUUACCUAACUUUUAGAGUGUAUUUACCAAACCUGUGAUCCAUUUUUCCCCCUAAACUCUACUCAGAUUUUGAAACGAUAACUUUUAACCAAAAAAAGUUCCCUCGUUUUGAUCCACAAAAUUCUUCCACAUAUGAGUCUGUUUCUUGUCAUUCAAGAACAUGUGACCAAUUUUCAAGUUCCAUGUGCACGCAGGACAGUUCAGCUUGUGCUUUCUUUGUACUUUAUGGAGAUGAUUCUAACGUUUAUGGCGAACUUGCAAGAGAAACUAUAACUUUGGAAGGAUCUGCUGGGGAUAGGGUGUCUUUCCCUGACUUUAUUUUCGGAUGUGGACAAGGUGGUGACUUUCCUAAGGAGGGAUCUGGCAUUGUUGGCCUAGGAUUCCAGCACCAAUCACUGAUCUCACAAUUAAAUUCCUCACUAAAUGGGAAAUUUUCCUAUUGUUUUGGUCCAUCCAAUGAUGUCUCCAAGCCUGGAAAAAUCGGAUUCGGUAACAAUCCUGAACUCUUGGGAAGAGAAGGGGUGGUCUCAACGCCGCUACAUUUUGAUUUCACAUACAGCCUGAGACUAGAAGCCAUUAGUGUUGCAGAUACAAGAUUGGAGUAUCAUUAUGAUACACCCUCUUCAACAUCAGGCAACAUUUUCAUAGACUCUGGGACACCUUAUACUUUUCUUCCACAAGAACUCUACAGUGAUUUUAAAGCUGCCAUACAACGUGAAAUUGGGUCACAGAAUAUAGUGGUCGACCAAGAACAUGACUUUACAUUGUGUUACUCAUCUCUGCUUGACAGUAAUAUUCCCAAUGUCACGUUACAUUUUACAGGUGCAGAUUUGAAGUUGAACCCAGAAAACAUCUUUGAUAGGGCCUCAUCUUCUCCAGUGUGCCUAGGAUUUGCCCCAAAUGACAUUGGCAUACUUGGAAAUAUAGCACAGGCUAACUCUUGGGUACAAUAUGACUUGGGAAACAAAAUUAUCUCCUUUAAGCCAGCUGAUUGCACCAAAUGAGUCGCAAUAUACAGAAAUUUAGGUACAAUAUGCUUGGGUUUGAUCUGAAGGAAAGUAUGAAUAAGCACCAGUCACGGGUCAUGUCCUAAAACAUUAGAGGAAUCUCGAAAUCUGUUUCACUUGUCCAAUUUUUCAACGACAAUCAAACCCUUUUGAAUUAAAUGUUCUAUGUUAGCAUGAGAGGACGAUUUUCCUUCUACUUUUCUUCUCUCUCAUACUCUAGUACAAGUUCCUUCCUGAACUAGUUCAGAUUGUUCUCCAAGGACAGACUUGGUAUGAAUUGAAAACGUAUAAUCUAAAUUAACAAGAAACCGAGUACACUAAAAUAUAAACCGCACAAAAGCGGAGACAGGUAGAACCUUUUGAAGCAAAUAGAACAUCAAACCUGGUGUGGUGUCAUAUCUUUGCCUUGACUGAUGCAAAUAUCAAAUUCUACAAUAUAAUCAAAUUGGAAUUGUUCUUAUGCUUUUGUUAAUUAAUCAUGACACAAGAGUUGAUGAAAUCAUAUAGCAGCUGAAUUUCACAAACAGGAGGGUCAUGCACUUUACUAUGGUUAAAACGAUGCAUUUUCGACUAAGAUUUGAACAACUGCUAUCCAACCAUAUUCUUUUGUAGCAUUCUCUUUUUAAUACUCUGCUCCACAUGAUAUUUUAGUUUCUUCUUCCUCUUAAUGGAAUUUAAUUUUGUUGAAACAAUUUCCCCACAAUGGAGUAAGUAAAUAUUCAUUGAGUAAAAGACAAAAUUAUGAGUUUUAUACUACUAGCAAUUAGUGUUCAAGUACCUUCGCUGACAACUAUAGACUUCAACAAGAUAAUGGACUACUAGACACUAUGAAUUUGGUAAGGAAAAUAUGCUAGCAAUUAAGAUUGUGAGUUGUCCAUUACAAUCUUGAUUACAAUUUAGAUGAUGGCACAAAACUUCGGCAUGCCCAGGACAGCUUUCUAGUUCAGCUUGAGAUUGGAUUUAGCCAAACCUAUCCACGCUGGAUUGCAAGUACUUGAAAAUGUAAAUGAAACUAGAUUGAUUAUGUACACCAUGUCAAAUUGUUACAUAAUUCAGAAGUAAUACAAGGAUGAUCCAUUAGUUCAUGAAACGUAAAUGAGCAUCAAAAACACAUAUCACCAAGAAUGGCGAUUACCUCUUCUUACCUUUCUUCGGAAAGGCCUGCAAGCCUCAAUGCUGAGAUCAACAGCAGCGGCAAGAGCCAUAAAAAUGGCUGCAUCCUCCACACAAGUCACAUAUCGCAUGGCUAGUUGCACCAGGGGCUUGCAACGUUUCCCUUCUCCUUGUACCCUAGAGCUCAUAACAAACCCACCAUGGACAGGACUUAGUGCAGCAAAAUCACCACUGCUUUGUGGACUUGGAACUGGAGUUGCUGCAGCUUUCACCUGUCUAUCUGUAUCUAUGAAGAACUCGCCACCCUUUUCAGCAUUAAUCAAUAUCUCUGACAUGAGGAUCUCCCCACCCUCCUGUCCUUCAGAUAAAAGGUGGAAGCGACAGCAGAUGGAGUCUCUGAUGCCACGUUCACGCCAUGCUUCAAGCUUUCCCCAUGGCUGCCAGCUCUCAGGCCUGCAAGCAUCAGGCCGAACAAUCAACCAAGCUCCUGGGUUGGAUUUUGCUACCCAGUCACAGCCUGAUGAAGGCACAAAUGGAGUAGUUAUGAAGGCUGCUGCAACAACUGAGCCAGAGAGAUCGUGAAUUUUCACCUUCCAUCCCUUCCUCUCUCUUCUUUCUACAUCCUGAUCAGAACUGUCAACUGAAUGUGACCAGAAGUUGCUCAGCGGAUCUAACUGGGUUACCCUGUAAAUUCAUAACAAUUUUCACACAUCAAAAAAUGGGAGAACUAAAAUUGCUGUUGUCUGCAUUGUCAACUUGUAAAAUGAUGUCAGAACCACUGAAGUCAAGCAACUGAAGAGUUAAGAGUUCAAACAUAGAUGACAAGAAAGUCAGCCUUAUUGACAUGGAAUCAAUUGUCAAUUCUAAACAGAAUAAUCCACCAUAAAAGAUUUGACAGAAACCUGAAAAUGUUAGAAAAUCGAUAUUACCUGUCUUGAUUAAACUUGCAACUGAAAAUAGGCUGCUUAAAUGUACCCUGAAGCUGAACUAUCUGGGGACUUGAUCUGGUCUCAUCUUCAAACUGAAACAUAUAUCUUGGAUCAGGAUCUAGCUUCACUCUUAAAUGAAGCUCUGCUCCAGGUUUUGCACUACCCUGCUUGCUCUUGCCAAUACCUAUCCACCCAUUGAAAAGUAUAAUCGGUUUUCCUUCUCCCCAUUCAGGACCAACUUCCAACUUAAAAGUUCCAAUCUGUUGCCUUUUAAUACCAACACCACAAUGUGUACCUUUGCGCCCUCUAAAAACUACUAUUUCCAGACAUGCAUGAGAUGCGUAGAAACAGCCUGGGGCCAGCAAUGCUUUGAGAUCAGAUUCUUCUAGGUAAAAGCUGGAGGCAACACUCUGAGCAUCUGGGGUAACUUCAGGAGAGGAUAGAAAGGGAAUAGAGGAGGUCUGCACAGGAAAACCACGUAAGCGAAUCUCACACACACAUGGAGAAGAGAUAGCAUUAAUUCCAGACUUAGAAGAAUUCAGUUCUGUCCCAGGAAGUCGCAAACCCAGUGAACCUAUUGACAACCUUAUGAAAGCUUGAGGAUCCAUUUUUGUCACAAGUCCUUCUCCAUUGGACAAUUCUGUAGCACUGUAGCAGAAAAAAACCUGUUAUGACAAGAAGUAUCAGCUAAUGAUAAGUAGAUUGAAGGGCAUAAAGUAGCUAAAUCAACAUAGAUUACUAUGUAUUUCGCUUCUUUGCAAUAAACCUCAUGUUUUAGAGUAUUAGUUGUGAACGCUAUAAUGCUCUUGCGCACCAUGAGCGGAAAGGAUCUGCUGCAGUUUGUGCCAAUUAUAAAUUGAAUUCCAGAUUAAAUUCCAAAAAUUAAUAAGUAACUGGAUCAAAGAGGAAUUCUGCCAUAGAAUGAGAAGAUGCAAGCUUCACAUAUGAUGGGAAAUUAUAAAUUAAAUGUUAUUUUUUUCAGUAGGUCUAAUAUAGACCUAGACACCAUAUUAACAUAUAGUAAAUAAUAGACAUGAAUGAACACGUAUCCUAAACUGUGAAGGAUUUUGUGUGUGCAUGGAUUCACAGUAUGUCAAAAAUACUUUUGGUACUUUUGAGUACUAACCACAAGGCACAUGGUUAGACAAAGGACUUACCGCACAUUUAUGAUACAUUAAGCAAAGUAAUCAGCUAACAAGAAAAAAAGAAUGAGUAGACUAGAGAAAGACCAAUUCAGUAAUCCUCAUUUUGUUUGAAACAAGGAACAAUGAUAUGAUUUAGAGAUAGAGAGAGAAAGGGGGGAAAGUAAAGUAAUCGCUAAUACUUAGUGUCAGUAGAGGCCUCAAACCAAACUGUAUUUAUUUUGUAUAGGAUAUGCCUUUAUUCCAUUAAGUAACAUAGAUCAACGGUCUACUGAAUUCCAAUUUCAUACCCUUCUCAAUUGAGUAUGACCAUGUCUCCCAACCAUAACCAACUUAACAAUGUGAAAUUAAGGGACAGAAAAUAAAUUGUGGUAUCUCAACAUUGAUCAAGGACUAUUAACAAUAUCAAUGGCCACUGUAGCUGAGGCUUUUGGGUUGCCUGACAUAAAGGAAAAUAAGGUUCUAAUAUUUGCAGCUUCUGUCUGAUCAUGAGCAUAGCAAAUAAUGACCAAAAAUCCAGAUCAACAGAAACAUCAUCAGGAGCAAAAAGCAGAGUUAACCAGCUUUUCAAAACUUAGAACUUUCCAGCACCCGAUCUACUGUAAAAGAAUGGAAAAAUCCUUUCCCGUGAAGAAAUUCUCUCCCAUCUCACGAAACUAUUUCAUUCUACUGGAAGAAUAAGGAAAAUUUACUCUAAGCAAGAUAUAUGGUAUCUUAAACUCAAUCAUGAUCUUGGAUAUAAGCACUCAAUACUAAAUCAAACAAAAAGGGAUGAAGGUUAAACCCAAAAAAUGCUGAUUUUCAGCUCAAAAUUAGUAGCCUAGAAAGUCAAGCAGUAGCCUAAAUUUCUUCACCAUUAAAUUGCCAGAUAUAGGAUUUGUUCAUAAAGUAUACAUCAGGUGAAAAAUUGGUCAGAAUUCUGAUCCAGUCAAUAGAAGAACUCCUGAAAAUUCCUCAACUAAAGCGAUUCCUAUCAGAUUGAUAUCACCUUUAUUUCCCGUUUGUGUGACUUUGUUCACAAUUAAUUAAUCCCAGAACUGCCUAAUUACUUAAUUUCCCUUUAUCUCUUUCACAUUCCAAAUAAAUGAACUUAAGAAGUGCAUAGCCUUUAGCUUUAAUUUACCUAAAAAUCAGAAACCCAUACAAAUGUACCAACUGACAACAUCAGUUGUCAACAAUGAACUUAAGCCAUUAAUCAACCAUACUAGUCAAUACACAAAAUCAUCCAUAAAAGACAAGUCAAAGCCACUUAAAAAUGCAAAAUUUGAGGAAAGAACAAAAGAAAUAUGAAACGAACCUUUGCUAUGAUGCUUUAUCUAUCUCCAAAGCAAAACCAAAGCCACUUUUGAAGCUAAGUCCACUGAAAAUAGCCCAGAAAGCUGAGAAAAUCCUCAUAACUUUGUCAUUCAAUUUUCCAAGAAAAUAACCAAAAAGAUUGAAACUUUGACACUUAUAUCACCAAAACGGACUGUAUAUCCAAAAGGGUCGCUCUCAAGAUCCAAUUACAAUAUGAAUAAAUGAUCAAAAGGGUCCUUUAAUAGCAAUAGCUGCCACCAAAAACUACAGCCUCCUCCAAGCAUAUCACGUAGACAAUGCACAGAUCACGAGGAAAGAUAUACUUAUAUAAACUACGUACGUAUAUAUACUGUGGAGAUUAGCUGUAGCUCUUGACAAAUGUUGCUUUCUUUUUCACUGUUCUCCUGCACAUAUACACACAGUGACGUACACUGUAAAUGUGUGUAUUUUAAGUGUUUCCUAACAAAGGUUUUGGAGAGAAAAUGGAGAGCCAUUGUUUAAAACGCCACAGGCGGAGAAAGUAAAGGAGUAUUAUUGAUUUUUUAAUAAUCGGAAUAUGAAAAUGCUAUUUUCAUAUAUUUUUAAAUCUAUAAAGCUCCCAAGAAUACUAGUAGGUGCUUUUUAAAAUUAUUUUAUUUCUAUAAUGGCCAAGUAAUGUUUUUGGACUAAUUUACUUUUACCUCACAAUAAUCCACUUUCUCCAACUGAUAGGAAAGAAUAUCAAUCAUGAACCAAUCAAAAGAAUGCAAUUCCCCCCCCCCCCCACUUAAAAGGGUACCACAAAAUUAGAGGUAAAGGUAUAGUAUAUUCUUGGGUGUUCUUAUUACUAUUUUUUUCCACGUUAAUCAAUAAGGGGUCUAAAUAUUGUGGAGUUGUGAAUAAUAUCACAGUUGAAGAAAUUAGAAUAUUGCGAACUUGUAAAUAAUGUGUUAGGACUAUGCAAAUAACUAAAAAUUUGCAUGAUUUGUGUUUUUUUUUUCAAUUAAUUCGGACUAUACUACUUUAUUAGUAGAGUACAAAAGGAAGUAACAAAAAAAAAGUAACUUAACUUGGAUUGUAGACUUUAUAUACUCCAUACAUUGUGAUGCUAGGCACACUUAGGAUUUGUCAAAUGGUUAUGUGUACCAAAUAGUAAUAUUGUCCAUCUUAGGAUGAUAACAAGCAAGAAUCUCCUUUAAAAAAAAAAAAGAAAAAAAAAUUGGAAGAGGAAUAUGAGAAUAAGUGAAUUAGUUGUUAAUUACAAACAUUCUUUUUAAUUAUGAUAUGAUAUGAUGGGAUAAUAAAUUGAUGUGUGUGGAGAAAAGUAAUAGGGGAUAAUAUAUAUAAAUGAGUUAAUGUGGGACAGCGAUGGGGAAAAUUGGAUACAGCUGUAACCAACGCUUUGCUCGCAAUGACUCAAUGGGAGAAAUGAGAAUCGUUUUGUAGACCCGCUUAUUGGGGUUGGAAGGAUGAGGCUGACUUCAUCAACUGAUCAACGUAACUGCAUUAUUUAUUUUAUUACAAUUUACAAAUAAAAUUUGGAUAAAUUACAUAUAACCAUCUUGUAAUUUCAUUUAUUAUCAAAGGACCCUCUUAAUGUUUUAAAACAUUCACUUCACCGUGCUAUGAUUUUAUGUAAAAUGAAAAUCUGGCGAAAAAUAGCUUAUGUAUUGUCGUUAGUUGAAACACCAGUAGCGUCCUUACUUAAAUACUAAAUCGAACAACGAGUUAAUCACUUUAUAUAAAAUCACAAGGGGAUUACGUGGAUAAAUAUAAAAAUUAGAAGGAUAUAGUGGAUAUUUAUAUAAAAUUAUAAGGGGAUUAAGUAGAUAUUAUAAUUUCAUCACGCGCAAAACAGAGAAAGGUCAUAUGGCAAGAGUUAUCUAGCAUUAUGCAAAAUCAAAGGGGAUUACAUAUAAUUUAUCCAUAAAAUUAUAUUAAUAAAUGGGAAAAAUAAUUCGAACAAUUUUUAGUAAUAUAUAGCUAUUUAUUUUUUUUUUGUAAUGCUAUUUAUUGCAAUGUCAACGCCUCAAUCUGUGGGGAUGGCUACAAGUCCAGCAUUCUUCCAAAUUUUGUCUGUGCCAAAUUCCUUAUUUACCUAACUUUUAGAGUGUAUUUACCAAACCUGUGAUCCAUUUUUCCCCCUAAACUCUACUCAGAUUUUGAAACGAUAACUUUUAACCAAAAAAAAAAGAGAAUUAUAUAUGUCAGAUAAACAAAGAAUUAUGUGUUAGACAAAUAUAUAUCGCUCUUUUUUUUUUAGUAUUCAAAUCCCAUUUAUGCCUACAAAAUUAUUGAUGUAAACCUAAUAUACGUGGAAAACGUUUGUCGGCUUUCAUGGACUGGAAUCCUAAUCACUUGAAAAACGAUAUGACUUUGAGUGUCUUAUUUUAUUUUAUUUUAUUUUUGUGGCUAUAAAUAGGGGAAAACAGGUAACUAUAGAUAUACCAGCAUCUAGAUUGGUAUCUUUUUUUUCAUUUGACCUUCCACGAUUUCAAAAGGUUGAAGAAUAUUUUCAUAUGUUUGGUUGUAGAGUAAUUAUUUUGCAGGGAUAUCUAACCAAUUUAUGCUUAUUAUUGGAUAAAUCGAUUACUUAAUACUCGGAAUUUUGUUAUCUUACAUCAGGUUUCGGGUUUUGGAUAUAUAUAUAUGUCCAAAUUAUACCGAAUUACUUAUGCGUAAUUAGGAAUUACCAAAUUCUAAUAAAUUAUUCAUCACUCACUUAACCGAAUCUUAAGUUGUCAUGCUUCCCUAGGUUUGUUAUACUAAAUACAUUGUUCACUUAUGCAUCAUUUAUGUCUUUUAUUUUUUUGUUUGUGAUACUAAGGGCUUGCUUGAUAGCUCUACUUAAUGUUGAAAAUUAAUUCAUUCUGAACUUCUUAAUUUUAGCAUGUUUGAUAACGUAAAUGCCUUACACUUAGUGUAUUAAACACUGCUUAGUUCGUGUACAAAUUUUUAAGUGAAAAUUUUUCAUUGUAUUUUUUUGAGUUGACUACGUAUACUAUAAUUCUCAUACAUAUUCUCGCAUAAAAUACACAGUUGUUCUCUUUCUUUUUACAUACACACACACACACGCAUGCAAAUAUACAUUCUCCCGCAGAAUAUGCACAUUUAAACACCACUUUUAAAUUGUUUCAUUAUUUUUUAUCUCUCUCAAACACACAUAUACACACUUUUCUUUCUCUCUAAAUACACAAAUAAAGGCAAUUUUUUUUACAGAUAAAAAAAUAAUAUUUCUGUAAUAUUUCAAUUCAGCUCUAUAAUUCAAUUAGUUAUCGAAUAGAUAUAACUUAAUCAAUUCAGCAACUUAAUAUUUUCAACACUUAAUUUUCAGACUUUAAAAUUUAGAUUUCAGACUUCAGUAUUAUCAAAAUAAGCCAUAAAGAUACCAUUGUUGUCUCUAAGUGUAUUUUUCUUCAGAAUUUGGAGAAGUAUACACACUUUAACAAAAGAUGUCAUCAAAACCUUCUGGGUAUAUUUCUGGCCGUCAAUAGAAUACCUAUCUGGUGUCAUAAUUGCCUUGCUUGGUCAUAAGAGAAUCUUGAAAUCAAUUGCGCGCAUUUGAUUCUCCAAUGAAAUUGCCGUACUAGUACAAUGUUUGAAUAUCAAUCUGUUGAUUUUUGUUUGAAUUUGUGAAGCUUUGCUCAAUGAUAUAUUCCACACAAAGUCGAGUUUUGUCAAUAUAGUUGAGGGCAGAGACUUUGAAUUCAAGAAAGAGCAUAAAGAAAAGCGUGCAACUUUCUUGCCUUAGGGUAGAAAAAAUACAAGAAGGAAAAGUCAGAAAGUGUGGGUUUUGUGGAGAACAAUAAUGUGACUUGAAUCAUUGAAUCAAAUAAUGUUGAUUCACUGUGAGUGACGUCUUUAUGUGCUUUUUAAACUGGUGUACAUGUGAAUGCUAAUGAGGAUUGAUGAUUAAACGAUUUUUAAUUCCAAUUAACACAGCUUCUUGGUGUAUGCUGUUUCAUCUGAUCUUGCGAUAAGCAUGGCCAAUCAAAGCAACUGGAGAGUUUUAAAAGUUGACCAGAUCUCUAACAACUGAUGGAAAUCAUCAGUAAAAUGAUGCAUAUGAUUGGCUUUGUUCUUGUUCCAUAAUCAUUGGACAGUUCAUCUGAAACAUAUAUACAUUUAACAACUAAACUUCGAUGAGAAAGAGGAUACCAGGUUGAUGACUUGAGUGAGUGCACAUGUUGGUAAUGAUAAUGACCCAUCUCUUAGCUCUAGUGAUUAAACAACAAUCAUGAAAUGGAGAGAUUUAAGUUGGACAGUUCAUGAGCUUCAGAAAGAGGAAAAAAAAGAAGAGAGGAAACCAUAGAGAACAAUGAAUUGAAAUGUUCAUAAAGAAGCCACACCAAAAAUUAUGCACAAUGACAUGGGAGAAAAGAAAAUAAAUGAUUGAGAUAUUAAGAAUUAGAAGUUCUGGAUUCAAGUCCUCCUUCUUCUUUUCCGUUUCUUAGAUCUCGUCCCUCUUUCGUUAAGCAUAAAAAAUGGAGAAAAAAAAUUAGAAGUUUAUGGCUUCAAUAACAUCAGAAAUAUAGUUUGAGAUCACGUUUUACUUGAUAUUAGUUGGUUGGCUCUAGCUUUACUAAAUCAAAUAGUUAUUUCCACAUAAUGUCCUUUAUAUGGUUUCAUACAUAUUUUUAACUUAUUCAAGUGAUUGUGUAAUGACGUAAGUAGUAUGUCAGUUAUCCAAAAAAGUCUUUACGGAAGGUCAAGAAGAAAUUGAUAAUCCAAAACAAAUUAUUUGGUCAAAAUUGAUUAUCUUGAAAUGGAGACCAACUUGGCAGAUGGCAGCCUCAAGAAAGGAAAAAAAAUUUUCCCCUUUUUUGGCUUCCAUCCUAGUGUCCGCUCCGGAUAGGUGCAACCGUUCCUAGCGGUUUUACGCAUUUUGCACAUCGCGUAAUUUCAUUUUCACACGGCGUAAUUUUGUUUGCACAACGUGUAAUUUUAGAGCAAAUUUUUGUGGGUCUCACACACAUUGUUAAAAACGAAAUACAAGAAGUGAUAUGAACCGUAUAUUUUUUUGGAGCCAAAUCUUGGCCAUUAACAGCUCAAGAGCGGUCCAUCUGAUGAUCGCUCCUGCCCCUCGUCCGUUUGUUCGCAAAACACUUGGGAGACAGCAAGUGGCAACAUCGUUUUCAACAUCUCCUCCGUCAACCAUACAACCAAGGAAUAUAACAGAUGCACAAAUAGCAUUAAUCUAUUUCUUAAUAAUAUUCCUACGGGUGAAGAAGAUAUAGGUCAAACCCUCUUCUUUUCUAAAAUUUUCAAGCCGUUGAUUGGAUUGAAUGUGGCAUAUGCAAACAUGUUUAGUAAAUAAAAUAAAGACAAUUAAACGUCAUGACAACAAACUAAAACAAAGAAAUUAAGGGUUAUUAUUACUUUACCCCUUAAACUAUAUCACUAUUAUCAGUUUACCUAUAACAUUAUCUUUUAAUCACUUUAUCCCCAUAAGUAAUUUAACUCAACAUGUUAAGAAAUUUUGGACAAUAAUACCCUUUUAUUUUAUAGCAUUACUACGUUGUUAUUACCACUUUAUUCGUUUAGAUUAUAGUGAUAUAAUCACUUUAGUUCCUAAUAUUAUUUUCUAGACAUUUUAUCUCAUCGUUAAUCUAACUAGUAUGGUAAAAAUUUUUUAAAUAUAUUUACCCUUUUUUAUAUAUAAUUAAAAAUAAAAAAGUUGGAAUGAUUUUUCUUCCUUUUUUUCACUUUAAGAGAUCGAAAAACAUAAAAAUAAAAGGGUUUUCUCAAAUUUCUAUUUUUCACAUUUGUUAAUACUAGGAAAAGAAAAAGAGAUAGGAAAGAAGGAGACAAAAAAUUAGAUUUUACAAAAAAAGAAAAUAAAGAAAAGUCUAACAUUAUCGUAUUACUUUAAGGUUGUCGAGAUUAGGAUUGAAAUUUGGUGGUAAACAAAAAAGUGAAAUAAUUUUAAAAUAAUAAAAGUAUUUAAUUCUUUUUUAUUUGAAAUUUUUAAAAAAAGAAUUGAGCUCUCUCUCUCCCUCUCCCCCUCCCUCUCUCCAUCUUUCUAUUUUUUUCAAUAUUAAUAAAAUUGCCAAGAAGAAAGAAAUUAAUACUUUGACUUUUUGUCUUGAUACUAAAAAGGAGAAGAGUCACUUUAAAUUUUUUAUUAUUUUUAUUAUACAAAGAGAAGGGUAUUUUCUUCUAAAAUUUUUUAACUUGCUAAAUUGGUUUAAUGGUAGGAUAAAUUGCUUAAAAAAUAACUCUAGGGGUAAAUAGAUAAUGAGACUAUAUUUUAUGGGAAUAAAGUGAUAAUAAUUUUAAGGGUUAAAUAUGUCUUUUCACUUUAAUUAACAAAUUCCGUUAAGUUUGAUUGUUAGUCUUGAGUGUAAAGUGACUAAAAGAUAACGUUAAGGGGAAAAUUGAUAGAAGCACCAAACGUUGAGGGGGUAAAGUAAUAAUAACCUAUAAAUUAAUAAAAACAAAGGGAAAAAAACAAGUGAGACAUAAAAAAAAAAAAAAAAGAACUUGGAUUUUGACUUAUUUCUUUCUAUAGUGUUAUGAGAUUUGUAUCUUUUGACCACCACUUGCAAUGUGGUAGAUGACAUUUAGACAAUAGGACAUCACUAACUCCAUUUGAGCCGACCAGAAAGAAGCAAUCCUCCCAAGGAUUUAGCAAAUUUUCAUUGAUGUCAUUUUGAAAAAACCUCUACCUUUUUUUAUUUCCAAAAGGAUUUAGCAAAUUUUUAGUAACAUUAAAAGCUACCACAAUUAGAGCUUGCCAACCAACCAAUCUUUUAAGAAGAUGCUUAGAACCUAAUUCAAUUGGCAAUUUAAUACUAAGUUUUAACAAAGCAAGUUCCUACCUUCAUUACGAGGGCAAACUCUGCGUCUCUGCUUGAUCUUCAUUAAGUUAGAAAAAUGAUCCUCACAAAAUGCAUUGGAAACUUUAAAAAAAGCUUUAGAAAUUUUUAUAUGGAGCACAUCUUUCGUGUCACUACAUAUGUAUUCUUCACAGUUACUAACCAAAACAAGAAAAAAGAUUUGAGGUUUGGAAAUUCAUUGUUUUGGGCAAUUUUUAGAAUUUUAUUUUGUUGCUUAUUAUAUUACUAUCAAUAUAGUAAAUUUUUUAUACUAACAAAUGUGGAUGUAUGUCACUUACGUAAAAAGUGAAUUUUAAAUCUAUAAUUAGAUUAUGCAGUGUGUAUCUACGUCUGAUCGUGUAUAUAUUGAUAGUGUAUAAAAAAAAUUACUCGGUACUCAUUUAUAUGUCAUUCUUCAUGUGCCCUUUCUGGAAUAUUUCACAUAGAAAAUUGACAAAUACAUGACAUUCGAUUUACCUUCAAAUGAUGUGGAAAUUAGUUAAUUGUAUUUAUAUUUUCUAUUUUGCAAGAAUAUAUAUAUAUUUGUAUUUGUACCGUAGAUUUGUACGUAGUACUUGGAUUGUUGAUUCUUCUUCAUAAUUCAUAAUUCAUGCCCCGUGGCGGCCGUCAAAAUAAAUAAAUGAGACUCUGCUUAGGGGUAGAGGUAGAGAGACGACUAAGCAAUACAGACAGAUAGAAAGACAGGUCAGGCGCAUGUCAGGUUAGCGGCGGCGUGGGACCAAGUAGAGCGACUUUGCGGCCAAGCAGGACAUGACACAUUAAUAUAUGCCAAAAAGAGCAGUUAACCAAAUACUACUAGUUUACAUUUUCAGACUUUGAUGCCAACUAAUCCCCUUCACCACCAUGUGUAUAUGUAUGGACUCAAAUCUUUGGUCCUUUUUUUUUUCUUCUUUAAUUGUAUUUUUUUUUUAUCAAAUGUCUUCCUGCAAUUCAGAUUUUAAAAAUUUCAGCCUUGUUUGGAUGGUCAUUAUUCUUCCAAAAUUUUUUUUAUGUUUUCUAUGAAUGUAUUUUCUAAUCACCUAUUUUAUAUCAUAUACAUUACAUUACUACAGUAAACAGUAGUAAUCUAGACGAGCUUAAUUUGUACUCGAGCAAAAGUUUCUGCUACUCCAAAAAUUAGCAUGCUUGUAGCAGAUUAUAUGAAAAUUUUUUGGAAUUAUACCAUAGCAAUUUUUGUAUAAUAAAAAUGUGAUUAAAAAAUAUGUUUAUGAUAUAAAGAAAAUAAAUAUUUGCAAGAAAUUGUCCAAACACCCUUUGCCACUUUGCUGCUCAAACUCAAAGCCUUUUUUUUUUGUGUGUCUCUCAUGGUUUUUGCUCUUCCGAAUCAAGAUCAUCCUUCCAUGGAGGGCAACUCAAUUUAACCUUUUACGUCAAAUAAUCCCUUUUUCACUCUAAUAUCAUUGUGCUUUACUGUUUUUUUAAAUUCUAAACUAGUCCCAAGAAGGUUUCUAUUUAGGUUUAAUGCAUCUUAAAAUUGCCAAGAAUAACCACAAAUUAGAGGUGUCAGCUACUUCCAUGCUUAAACAACGAUCACCAAAAUUUGGAAAAAUCUAACUCAUUGUACAUAAAACAAAUUUUAAUCUUUAAUGGACCACGAAUCCUAAAAAGGGGAAAAAAAAAGAAGGAAACACCCAAUUUCUCUAAAUACUUGCUCAAGAAAAUAAAACUCAAUAAUCAAGAAUUAUUAACUAAGUUUUUUCUUUUUAAAAUUUAUCCUUCCAUAUCUCGGAUUACGCAUACUGAGAUGCUCCUUGAUAUUGUGGGUCUGAGAAUCUAAUUCAAUUUUUGUGUAAAAGCAAUAUUAAAUGUUAGUAAUAGAGAGCCACUACCAUCACCGAGCUUCGACAAAGGGCGCCACUAAACAAGCUUUCUUUGUUGUAUGCCCAUUUGAAUUGCCAUUUUUAAAAAUAUUUGUAAAAAAUUAUAUUGUAACAAUUUGACUUAUAUGAGUUAGGCCUCAUUUCGGAUUGCGGUGCUUUUGAUAAAAAAAAUACUUUUAGGUGUUAAAAGUACUUUUAAAACGUUUGGUGAAUAUCAUUUCAUAAAAUUAGGAGUGGUAUUUUUGGUGUUUGGAACACUUUUAACAAAAGUUCAAAUUUGGUGCUUUUAAAGUAGAUUUUGCAAUUCAAAAAAAUAAAAUAUUAAAUUUAAUCAUUUUAUCCUAUAUUAUAAAUUAAAUAAAGAUAUAAAUGCAUGUAAAAAUUUUCAAAUCACACGUUAUCCAACACAAUAAAUAUUUAUUAAACUACAUCUCCAAACAGUAUACUUAAAAGUACUUAAAUAUUUAAUAAGCUCUUUUAUUAAAAUUCUAUUAGAGAAAUAUUUUUCAAUAAACUACCGCACCUCCAAACGGGAUUUUAAUUGAAAAAUGUGUCGAUGCAGAAACAAUCACAAUCCAAACGAGGCUACGUCACAAACUCAAAUAAUUUCAUCUGGACAAGAAACUAAGGGGAGAUGCCUUCGCCGUAAUUUUUGGCAUGCCGUUAUAUAUGGACAAAGAAAAGAUGAUGAAGAAGAGGCUUGCAGGUGUGAGUACAGAAGUGAAGUGGAGUUUAGUUUCGUCCAUCAAUUUAUAAUACAGUACUUAAGCAGUGCCAGAAGCAUUUUUUGAGAAAGAGGCCUUGUUUGGCUGGCAAGUUUUUUUUCUAAGUUUAUCUGUUACAAGUUUUUUAAAAACUUUAGCUACAAAAACCUCAAAAAACCUCUCAAAGUUUUUAAACUAUACACCUCAAAAUAUUAAAAAAUUUACACAUUUCAAAAAUUUUUUAAAAAAUUUCUACAGUAAACUACAGUAAAGUUUUAGACAAACACCUAAAAGACUCACUUACCAAAUGUGCAAAAAAAAAAAAAAAUAUUGUACAUAUUAUCCCAUUCUUUUAACAUGGAUGUGAACAAAAUUGUUUGACAAAAUUUUAGUCCAAACGAUAAAUAAUGUAGAUUCUAGUUAAAUUUGUACCCAAGGCUUGAGAAGUCAAUUAAAGCCCCAAGUGCCAUGUCUUAGUGGUCAGAGUGAGGGUUCUUAAAGUCUUGUGUAUUAGUUCUAAUAUUUGAAUCCUACGUUUGAUAAUUGAGGUGGGACGACGAACAUAAGGAGUGAGGGUUAAACUAAAAAAAUAUAAAGGAAAACGGCUGGGCAGGGAUCCUACUAGAUGUUUAGAAAAUGCAUCUGGUCAUGGUUUUGUUCUUCUCGGGGUCCAAAAAAAUCACAUCAUCUAGAUGAUCAGUGCCAAGAUUGCAGCCGGGAUUUUAUCAUCUUUGACCGCAAAGCCGAAUCCAAGAAAGAAUCGACAACAGGAGAGAUAAUAAUGCAGAUAUUGCAUUACCUAGCUAGGAUAUGUCCGUACAUCAUUGUGAAAUAUUUUAGCCCCUAUGGAUUGCUAUGUUUUGUAGAAAAAAUAUAACGCAGCGAUUUGAUGUAUGUAAGGUAAAAAGGCGAGCGGCAGAUGUGUUCACCAAAAACGUAAAAAUUUUCUUGAAAAAAAAAUUGCAAUCCAUGCUUAAAAAAUGCUUUCACUCCUGCGAAAUUAUCAUCAUAUCACAUAAUAACACAAUCUUGCACGAAUUGCCAAUUUCCCAGUUAUGAUUUCUGAGAGAAAUUUCCUUUCCUAUUAUACGUCCAGAGGAGUCUUUUCUGAGUUCUUGGAACCUCUUAGAAUCGUCUUGAUUUGCAUUUUCUCGUGGGCACCUGUUCUCUUGCCUAAACCAGAGGCAAUCUGCAUUCAAAAGUGUGAAAAGGUGACCUUGUCAAGUACCUAAGAUCUCAAAUGGCACAAUGACAACUGAUGACAAAAAGGAAAAAUGACCAUAUGCAUGCAACAUGAGAAAAAAAGAUCGAUGGUGGGAUCGUGCACGAAACACGAAAGACUCCAUGAUUGCUACAUAACCUUUCUGCAGUACAUACAUACAUGCAUUUCUCAUUGGCUACUGGUUAGGUGAAAAGACACAAAAUGCAAAAUGGGUUAUCCGAGACAUCGGUAUUGGGGGGUUGGGGUUUGGGUAGAUAAGUCCCUCGCAGGACUCCAAAAGUUGCCUGCUUUUGGAGUUCUUGUGGGGAUUAGAUUUAUUUGCGUAAAUUCUUACUUCUGUAAGAAAAUGUCAGAAAGAGACAGUCUAAGGCUUAAUACAUUCAUCAGUUGUUGGAGUAAUCUAAUCAAUGUAAAGGCAUGCAAAAGUGGUACUAUAAGCAUAAGCCAAGAACUGUAACAAUCACAAAGUUCAAGCUGAAUAUGAGUAAACCUUAUACACACUGACAGUGUAUAUAUUAUCACCGUUAGAUUUAUGAUAUGUGUGCAAAAGUUGAAUUUUAAAAUUAAAUUUUGUAUAAUUGUCAUUUAUCCAGCGCUGAUUGUGUAUACACUGUCCUUGUUUGGAAGCCAAGUUUUUUGCCAAGUUUGUCUGCUACAAGUUUUUAAAAAACUUUAGUUACAGUAACCUUAAAAAACUUUUCAAAAUUUUUAAACUAUACACUUCAAAAUAUUAAAAAAAAAAAACACACUUCAAAAAUUUUUUAAAAAACUUUUACAGUAAGUUACAGUAAAGUUUUAGACAAACACUCAAAAAACUCACCUUCCAAACGGGGCGAUUAAUAAUUCAUGCUAAUAUACUAUCUAAUCUUUGUGCCAUUUCAGAAAAGAAAAGCAAAAAAAGGAAAAACUAUCUAAUCUUUGUAUCCUUUCACAAAGGCCCACAACAAAUUUGCCAUGUUUGUCUGUCUCCAUGGACUGAGACUCUUCCCACAAGGAAUGUGGGUCUAAAUAGGGGAACUCCUUAAUUUCGACGACUUUUUAGUGGGAGUGACUCCAAAAAAAUCAGGCCCGGAGACAAUUAAUUGUUAGAAAUUCAAAAUGUUAGAUAAGUCCAAGAAGAGACAGGCAAAGUCAGAAUUUUAAAACCAAAAGCAUAAAAUCACUUCUACCCUUUUCCUUAAGGUACAAAAACAUUCUUUUCUUUUAUUUUUUCUUGGUUGAUAUGGAUUGGAAGAAAGAAAAACCAUUUCACAUCACAUUCUUGUGAGUUCAGUUCGCCUAUCAUCUACCUCCUUCAUUAGUUCCUUUUUUUCUCGAGUAUCCCUUGGCUUAGUAGUGUAUGUGGAUAGGCACCUUUUAUGAUCUUGACACUGAUCACCAAAUUGCCAAAAAGCAGAUGAGGGAGGCACACAUGGGCAAGGAAUGAGGACCAUUACACAAUUCUCCUAUCAGGGGGGUCGAGAAUACUCUUGCAUUUGACACUGAAUAAGAAGAGAAAGUUCUGUCAUUUCCUGCUUUAAAUUUGUGGAUUGAUUGAAUGAGCUACUCCUGGAAGAAAUUUCAUCUGGAAAGUUGGGAGCAGUAGCUUUAAAAAAAAAAAAGUGCCAAACAACAACAUGAACUUGAUCACGUCCCCAUUCAAUUGGACUUGUUCUCCCAAUGCCUAAGCUUUUUUGACAUCAGGAGACAACAGCACAUGCAGAGUCGGAUAGAAUGAUACUAAAAGACAUCCCAAUUCCCAACCUUAAAGCGGCAGAUCCUGUGGCCUUUAAAGAUGAGAGAGUGACCUGACCUCUGAUAUAUUGAAUCAUUAAUGCUGAUUAAUAUCCACCCUGAAAUUGAAGAAGAAAUAAAUGUGCUCCAAGUCAACAAGAUAAGGCCUGCUACUUACCAAGCAGAGGGGUCAUUUCCAAGGUAAGUGAGCUUUACAUUUUUAGUACAUUUGCCCGUAUUCUUUGAAAUUUAGCCCCUUGAUUUGUUAAGCUUCUUUUUUUUUUUGUCUGAAGAAAAUAGCAAGAUUGAGGCCUGAAACAACCAAGUUAAUCUGCCUUUUCAUGCUAGGUAAUCUAGCUAAUCCUCAGAGAAAAUCAAAAGCUUAAUCCAAUCUGUUAGGGAAGGAUCAAAUACUGGGCAUUUAACCCUCAGUGGAACAGAAACCAUACAUCUCAGGACAUAAUGGCCUUUUCUUUUGUCCUCCUAACGAGAAUAGAACCUACAAUAACAGAUAACCAGUGUAUGUAAAGAUCCUCUAAAUCACAGCAGUUAGCAGCCAACAUCCAAUCACAGGUAAUAAGGAACCAUGUACCCCUGAUUUAGGCAACUUGAUCUAACAUGUCAAGUAGGCAAGAAGUCUCUGGUUAUUUAUUUUUCUCAUGAGGGAGAUAGGAAAUACUAACACAAGGAUAGUGUUACUAACAUCCGUAAGUACCAAAAACCAAAUCUGCAUAAACAAGCUAAGUGACAGCAAAGUGACCAAAAUCUUAAACUAUAUAGAGAAAAAUGCACGCUGAAAUCUAGCUAUAUGUAUUUAUAUACACGCUGAAUUUAGUUUCCAAAUUAUUCAAAAAAUGCUUCAACCAAACCAAUAAAACACAGUGAUCCUGGAGAAAGCAGCAACACAGAAUGGAAGAAACAAAUCCCAAGACACACAAAUCACUUCCAUCUCUUGAACCCCAUGAACUUGUGCUAGU